CAAAACACGUCAAUCUCUCAUUUUUUGUCUUAUAUAUCACUACUUUCUCCAAAAUUGUCAGUCAGGAAAUCAAGAACAUGCAGCGUUGGACACUGUGCUUGGUGACAUGAAGAGAACCAGAAGGUUGUCACUGGCUGUACAGGCUUGGCCAGGACUGACCCGAACAGAGACUGAGGUCAAGAAAAGAGAGAACUGGUGACGGUGUUUGACUGUGUGAAGCCACAUCACAGUCCUGUCCGCAUGGGCCAGUCUGAGUCUGCUGGCGUGGAUGGCAGGAUAUUCUCUCCAGUUACAGGGUUUAACUACAGAGCUACCCCACGCCUGAGGCCAGGGGCGGCGGCCGGGAGGAGCAACCCCAUGUCCAAGGAGCAGUGGCUGUGCGGGUGCAGGAGGGCCGAGAAGAACUACUCCAUGUCUAAGUCAGGAGGGGCGGUGAUGAGGAGAUACUCCUCGUCCAAGGUAAGGAGAAGCAGCUGUCCUUUGCUGGAGCAGCCGUGAAGAGAUAACCCAUGUCCAAGGUAAGAGAAACCCAAGUAAGACAGUAGGUGUUGUGAGAGGGCAUCAGAGGGCAGACACACUGAAACCAUAGUCACAGAACACUAGUCAAUCUGAUCACAAGGACAGCAGCCUUGUCUAACUCAAGGAAACUAAGCCAUACCGUGUGGGG
rnacentral:lncRNA from 1 species